AUUCCUACGGGAGGCAGCAGUGGGGAAUCUUGCACAAUGGGGGAAACCCUGAUGCAGCGACGCCGCGUGAGCGAUGAAGCCCUUCGGGGUGUAAAGCUCUUUCGGCAGGGAAGAUUAUGACGGUACCUGCAGAAGCAGCUGCGGCUAACUACGUGCCAGCAGCCGCGGUAAUACGUAGGCAGCAAGCGUUGUUCGGAGUUACUGGGCGUAAAGGGUGUGUAGGCGGUUCUUUAAGUUUGGUGUGAAAUCUCCCGGCUCAACUGGGAGGGUGCGCCGAAUACUGAGGGACUAGAGUACGGGAGAGGAAAGUGGAAUUCCUGGUGUAGCGGUGAAAUGCGUAGAUAUCAGGAGGAACACCGGUGGUGUAGACGGCUUUCUGGACCGUAACUGACGCUGAGACACGAAAGCGUGGGUAGCAAACAGGAUUAGAUACCCUGGUAGUCCACGCCCUAAACGAUGCAUAUUUGGUGUGGGUCAUUCAGUUGAUCCGUGCCGGAGCUAACGCGUUAAAUAUGCCGCCUGGGGAGUACAGUCGCAAGGCUGAAACUCAAAGGAAUUGACGGGGGCCCGCACAAGCGGUGGAUGAUGUGGUUUAAUUCGAUGCAACGCGAAAAACCUUACCCACCUUUGACAUGUACGGAAGCCUUUAGAGAUAGAGGCGUGCUCGAAAGAGAGCCGUAACACAGGUGCUGCAUGGCUGUCGUCAGCUCGUGUCGUGAGAUGUUGGGUUAAGUCCCGCAACGAGCGCAACCCUUGUCAUUAGUUGCUACAUUCAGUUGGGCACUCUAAUGAGACUGCCGGUGACAAGCCGGAGGAAGGUGGGGAUGACGUCAAGUCCUCAUGGCCCUUAUAGGUGGGGCUACACACGUCAUACAAUGGCUGGUACAAAGGGUUGCCAACCCGCGAGGGGGAGCUAAUCCCACAAAGCCAGUCGUAGUCCGGAUCGUAGUCUGCAACUCGACUACGUGAAGUCGGAAUCGCUAGUAAUCGUGGAUCAGAAUGUCACGGUGAAUACGUUCCCGGGCCUUGUACACACCGCC
rnacentral:rRNA from 1 species